GAUGAACGCUGGCGGCGUGCCUAAUACAUGCAAGUCGAGCGAACAGAUGAGAAGCUUGCUUCUCUGAUGUUAGCGGCGGUCGGGUGAGUAACACGUGGGUAACCUACCUAUAAGACUGGGAUAACUCCGGGAAACCGAGGCUAAUACCGGAUAAUAUUUUGAACCGCAUGGUUCAAUAGUGAAAGACGGUUUCGGCUGUCACUUAUAGAUGGACCCGCGCCGUAUUAGCUAGUUGGUAAGGUAACGGCUUACCAAGGCGACGAUACGUAGCCGACCUGGGAGGGUGAUCGGCCACACUGGAACUGAGACACGGUCCAGACUCCUACGGGAGGCAGCAGUAGGGAAUCUUCCGCAAUGGGCGAAAGCCUGACGGAGCAACGCCGCGUGAGUGAUGAAGGUCUUCGGAUCGUAAAACUCUGUUGUUAGGGAAGAACAAAUUUGUUAGUAACUGAACAAGUCUUGACGGUACCUAACCAGAAAGCCACGGCUAACUACGUGCCAGCCGCCGCGGUAA
rnacentral:rRNA from 1 species